UGGGCUGUGGGAGCUCCCAGCUCUCUGCUCACACAGGGCUGAAGUCUCUGGGAAGGCAGGUGUGGUCUAGAAGAUGAGGCUGCUGGGUCUUGUCCUGUGCCUGGUCACAGCUCCCCAAGGUGUCCUGUGCCAGGUGCAGCUGCAGGAGUCAGGACCUGGCCUGGUGAAGCCCUCGCAGACCCUGUCCCUCACCUGUGCUGUCUCUGGAUUCUCCAUCACAACCAGUUACUACUGCUGGGAGUGGAUCCGUCAGCCCCCAGGACAGGGGCUGGAGUGGAUAGGGGACAUAUGUUAUAAUGGUAACACUUACUACAGCCCAUCCCUCAAGAGCCGAGUGUCCAUCUCCAGAGACCCGUCCAAGAACCAGUUCUCCCUGCAGCUGAGCUCCCUGACCACUGAGGACACGGCCACCUAUUACUGUGCCAGAGACACAGACCCAAUGCAGGAGCUUCCCCACAUGAGUGAUGGUGUGGUGAUGGUCUCCAUCUGCCUGACUCAUUUCAGCUAG